rnacentral:rRNA from 1 species
UACAGAGGUCCCAAGCGUUGUUCGGAUUCAUUGGGCGUAAAGGGUGCGUAGGCGGCGCGGUAAGUCGGGUGUGAAAUCUCGGGGCUUAACUCCGAAACUGCAUUCGAUACUGCCGUGCUUGAGGACUGGAGAGGAGACUGGAAUUUACGGUGUAGCGGUGAAAUGCGUAGAUAUUCGGAAGAACACCAGUGGCGAAGGCGGCUCACUGGACCGGCAUUGACGCUGAGGUGCGAAAGCGUGGGGAGCAAACAGG